UGUAUGUAUGUAUGUAUGUGAGUGAGAUGGGUUUCGGGGUUCUAUCAUGUUGCCCACGCUGGUCUCGAACUCCUGUCCUCAAGCAAUCCGCCUGCCUGCCUCGGCCGCCCACACUGCUGCUAUUACAGGCGUGAGACGCUGCGCCUGGCUCCUUCUACAUUUGCCUGCCUGCCUGCCUGCCUGCCUGCCUGCCUGCCUGCCUGCCUGCCUAUCAAUCGUCUUCUUUUUAGUACGGAUGUGCUCUCGCUUUAUUGUCCAUGCUCUGGGCACACGUGGUCUCUUUUCAAACUUCUAUGAUUAUUAUUAUUGUAGGCGUCAUCUCACGUGUCGAGGUGAUCUCGAACUUUUAGGCUCCAGAGAUCCUCCCGCAUCGGCCUCCCGGAGUGCUGUGAUGACACGCGUGGGCACGACGGAGUUUCACUCUUGUCGCCCAGGGUGGAGUACGAUGGCGGCUCUCGGCUCACCGCACCCUCCGCCUCCCAGGUUCAAGUGAUUCUCCUGCCUCAGCCUUCCCGAGUAGCUGGAAUGACAGAGAUGAGCCAUCGUGCCCGGCUAAUUUUUCUAUUUUUACUACAGAUGGGGUUUCUCCAUCUUGGUCAGGCUGGUCUUCAACUUCCGACCGUUGGAGAAUCUUAACUUUCUUGGUGGUGGUUGUUUUCCUUUUUCUUUUUUUUCUUUUCUUUUCUUUCCUUCUCCUCCCCCCCCACCCCCCCUUGUCGUCGUCCUCCUCCUCCUCCUCCUCCUCCUCCUCCUCCUCCUCCUCCUCCUCCUCUUUCAUUUCUUUCAGCUGGGCUCUCCUACGUGUGUUGCUCUGUUGCUCACGCUGGUCUCAAACUCCUGGCCUUGACGCUUCUCCCGUCACAUCCGCCGUCUGGUUGUUGAAAUGAGCAUCUCUCGUAAAAUGGAAAAGAUGAAAGAAAUAAACACGAAGACGGAAA